rnacentral:rRNA from 1 species
CAAAGUGGGGGACCUUCGGGCCUCAUGCCAUCAGAUGUGCCCAGAUGGGAUUAGCUAGUAGGUGGGGUAACGGCUCACCUAGGCGACGAUCCCUAGCUGGUCUGAGAGGAUGACCAGCCACACUGGAACUGAGACACGGUCCAGACUCCUACGGGAGGCAGCAGUGGGGAAUAUUGCACAAUGGGCGCAAGCCUGAUGCAGCCAUGCCGCGUGUGUGAAGAAGGCCUUCGGGUUGUAAAGCACUUUCAGCGGGGAGGAAGGCGGUGAGGUUAAUAACCUCACCGAUUGACGUUACCCGCAGAAGAAGCACCGGCUAACUCCGUGCCAGCAGCCGCGGUAAUACGGAGGGUGCAAGCGUU